rnacentral:tRNA from 1 species
UUAAAGAUAAGCUAAAAAAGCUAAUAGGUUCAUACCCUAUAUAUGACCUUAUUCUCUUUAAA